rnacentral:lncRNA from 1 species
AUGUUCCUGUCACCAUCACAUUACCUGCUCAGCCCCAUUCUCUGCCCUUAUUGGCUCUAGCACCAGCAUCUGCACACCAUUCACCAACAAGCACAGGUUAAAGAGCACGUGCUGAAGUCAAACUAAUUAACUACAAGAGAGUGCAUGGCAUCGGAAGCAGCUCGGCAAAGCCCACCAUGUCAUAGAGUCUGUACAGCUCAGCCCACCACAGCUGGGAGUCUGGGAGUCACCGAUAUCGUAUAUGAGGAAGGACAGACUUGCCUGCUAAGACACCCUGAUUCUCACCAGUUCCCAGAAUGUGGAGGAUGCAGGAAUCAUGACGCCUUCAUGGACAACUAUGAUGCUUUAAAAGAAAAGUAUUUUAGAGGCUAAUGGAGCUGCAACUUUAAAGACGAAUCAGUGGACUGCAGGUCAGCCUUAGACAUAGUAUGCAUCUAGAAUCUGCCAGAUGCUUUAAGGAAAGGGUCUCCUACAAGCAGCGUGAGCACUGCUGAAGAAGCAUUUAUGUCACUGCUGCAAAAACCAACAGAUGGUAAUGCUGGAGUGAAAAGCAUUGAAGAGCUGGCGGCCACGGCCAAUGGAGAGAGAGUGCAGAGCUGAGACUUCCAGGCAGGAUGU